UGAAAAGCCAAGCUUAAUGAUUGCUAAGAUAAUGUUGACUUCAAACAGGCCUGUUUUGUCCCACGUGCAUGGGAGUAAAUGUGCAUAAGGAUGGGCUGCUAGAAGACAGAGGAAGCCACGCCCAGGCCCACCAACUGAUUUGUAGAUACUUGCUGCCGUGUUCCAGCCUGCCAGCUCGACUUCUAGU